CUACGGGCGGCUGCAGUGAGGAAUAUUGCACAAUGGGGGGAACCCUGAUGCAGCAACGCCGCGUGGAGGAUGACGCAUUUCGGUGUGUAAACUCCUUUUAUAUGUCAAGAAAAUGACGGUAGCAUAUGAAUAAGCACCGGCUAACUCCGUGCCAGCGAGCCGCGGUAAUACGGAGGGUGCAAGCGUUACUCGGAAUCACUGGGCGGAAAGGACGCGUAGGCGGGUUGGAAAGUCAGGUGUGAAAUCCUACAGCUUAACUGUAGAACUGCACUUGAAACUUCUAAUCUAGAGUAUGGGAGGGGGAGAUGGAAUUAGUGGUGUAGGGGUAAAAUCCGUAGAUAUCACUAGGAAUACCUAAAGCGAAGGCGAUCUCCUGGAACAUUACUGACGCUAAGGCGUGAAAGCGUGGGGAGCAAACAGGAUUAGAUACCCUUGUAGUC
rnacentral:rRNA from 1 species